rnacentral:ncRNA from 1 species
AGGUAAAGCAUGACACUAGCAGGAUGGUGGCCACGGAAGUCAGAAUCCACUAAGGAGUGUUUAACAACUCAUCUGACAAAUCAACUUGCCCUGAAAAUAGAUGGUGCUAGA